AAGGGGCAACUGAGGAUUUGAGAGUAUAAGUGUCUUGCUCAAGAUCACAAAGCUGCAGCUGUGAACACAUUUCUUGUUGGUGGCCGUGACUUCUGUUUUCAAGCACUUCCAAAGAUCCUCCUGGUUGCUGAGGACCGUUCUACACUCCUGCCUUCAUAGCCCUAAGGCCAGCCUAGGCCAUGCCUUCAUUUUCCAGGAUUCCAUGCAGGAACUCUUGGACUCCCAACAAGCUCCCAUCGGAGCUUAACAGGGGUCACGUGUGAUCCAAGGAUCAGUUGGUGGAAAAUGGUGUUGCAAGCUGUGUUUCCAGUCUUGGGCAUUCACCUAUGAAGUGCAAGCUGUGGCAAGAAUCAACCUUCUAGAUCAAAGGGAUAUAAUCACAAAAGAAAAGGACGAAGCAUCCUCAAAUGCCUGAGAGGGAAAUCAGACCCUCUUCUCCUGCAUGCUUGCUCAAUGCCACACUACUGGUCAGUGUCACAGUUGAGAUCCCACGGCUCCAGCUAACGCACAGAGUGGAUGGAUGUUCAAUACAAUAUCCCCAGAGUAAGAAAUUCCAGACCAAAGUCAAGGCUGGACAGCUUCAUGGAUUAGCAUCUAUUAGAUGUUUCAUACUUGGAGCUUAUACCGUAAAGUAGCAUGGUCAACACACCAGCUCUUACACAUAGCACAAGGACUACACCUGCAUACUCUUGAUUUACUUUAAUGUUUUCUUUCCUACCCCAAGACUGGAAAAAGCACCAGUUUUGAGAUUGUGUCUGAUUUUUCAUCCCUUGUGUGUUCCUACAGCUUUUUCCUUCCAUGAGUCUUUAAUAAAAUGGCUGAACACA